rnacentral:lncRNA from 1 species
AUAGCUGCCCCAUAGAGACCCCACAGCUGCCCCACAUCUGCCUCGUAGCUGCCCCAUAGAUACUCCAUAGCUGCCCCAUAGAUACCCCAUAGCUGCCCCACGGCUGCCCCAUAGCUGCCCCGUAGAUACUCCAUAGCUGCUCCAUAGAUACUCCAUAGCUGCCCCAUAGCUGCCCCAUAGAGACCCCACAGCUGCCCCACAUCUGCCUCGUACCUGCCCCAUAGAUACUCCAUAGCUGCUCCAUAGAUACUCCAUAGCUGCCCCAUAGAUACCCCAUAGCCACCCCAUAGCUGCCGCACAUUUGCCUCAUAGCUGCCCUAUAGAUACCCCACAGCUGCCCCAUAGAUACCACAUAGCUGCCCCCCAACCUGACCUAUAGCUGACCCCCAUCCUGCCCCACACCCCGCCCCACAGCCCCAGCUCCACCCCCAGCCCCACACAUCCCCCCCAGGCGCUGUGUCUGAUCACAGCCCCAAUGAUGAUGAUCCUGUGCUCCCAGCAGGACGUCCUGCCCCACACCCAGCCCCACACCCAGCCCCACACCCAGCCCCACAUCCUGCCCCAUGUCCUGCCCCACCCCCAGCCCCACACUGUGCCCCACACCCCCCCAGGUGCUGUGCCUGAUCACAGCCCCGGUGACGAUGAUCCUGAGCUCACAGCAGGACGCCGCCUUCGCCUUCGCCGCGCUGGCCGUGGUUUUCUCGUCCUACAUCACCCUGGUGGUGCUGUUUGUGCCCAAGAUGCGGCGGCUGAUCACGCGGGGGGAGUGGCAGGCAGAGCAGCCGGACGCCAAGCCGGGCUCCUCCACCAACAACGACGAGGAGAAGUCGCGGCUGCUGGAGAAGGAGAACAGGGAGCUGGAGCGCAUCAUCNNNNNNNNNNNNNNNNNNNNNNNNNCGGCUGUGGGGGGACGUGCAGGGGACGGAUGGGCUGCCCCAUAAAGGGGGUGGGAUGCCCCAUAGUACGGGGUGACACACAGGGAAGGGGUCAGGAUGCCCCAUAG